UCUCCGUUGGUGAACCAGCGGAGGGAUCAUUACCGAGUUUACAACUCCCAAACCCCUGUGAACAUACCUUAAUGUUGCCUCGGCGGAUCAGCCCGCGCCCCGUAAAACGGGACGGCCCGCCAGAGGACCCAAGCUCUAAUGUUUCUUAUUGUAACUUCUGAGUAAAACAAACAAAUAAAUCAAAACUUUCAACAACGGAUCUCUUGGUUCUG
rnacentral:misc_RNA from 1 species